AAACCAACAGGGAUUGCCCCWGUAACGGCGAGUGAAGCGGCAAGAGCUCAAAUUUGAAAUCUGGUCUCCCCCGGGGGCCCGAGUUGUAAUUUGCAGAGGAUGCUUCGGGUGCGGCCGCCGUCUAAGUUCCUUGGAACAGGACGUCAGAGAGGGUGAGAAUCCCGUCUUGGGCGGGCGGUCCGCGCCCGUGUGAAGCUCCUUCGACGAGUCGAGUUGUUUGGGAAUGCAGCUCUAAGCGGGUGGUAAAUUUCAUCUAAAGCUAAAUAUUGGCCGGAGACCGAUAGCGCACAAGUAGAGUGAUCGAAAGGUUAAAAGCACCUUGAAAAGGGAGUUAAACAGCACGUGAAAUUGUUGAAAGGGAAGCGCUUGCGGCCAGAUUCGGGGGCGGGGUUCAGCGGGUGCUCGUCGCCCGUGUAUUCCUCGUCUCCCGGGCCAGCAUCAGUUUCGACGGCSGGUCAAAGGCCCCCGGAAUGUGUCGUCUCUCGGGACGUCUUAUAGCCGGGGGUGCAAUGCGGCCCGUCGGGACUGAGGAACGCGCUCCGGCUCGGAUGCUGGCGUAAUGGCCGUAAGCGGC
rnacentral:rRNA from 1 species